GGGAGCUCGGAUAGGAAGUUCUGAUGCAUUCGCCCUAGAGUCCGGACCUGGGACCAAGUGAUUACCACCAAUAGAGGCCUGUGAUAAUUGGUUAUCCGAAUGUUUUGUCAAUAUCGAUAAGGGCUUCUACGAGAAGGUAUUAUGAAGUUGGAUUCUCGUUGGCAACAAGUUAUUGAACAGAACGGGAACUCCAAUAUCUAAUUUAUAAAAAAACAAAAACAUCACUAUUGAUUAGAAUUAUCUAGAGAAGACUCGGAAAGUGUGCACUACUUAGGGUCCAUUGCAGCCCACUCUUCGUCGACAGAGGCCUUCAUGGCUUCUAUAUUGGGAUGAUGAAUGCUACAGGUCCUCAGCUCGAUGUGCAACCAGAAGGAAAAGUCCAGGGAAUUGACAUCCGGACUGUAUGGUGGCCACAUUAUCUUGUACCAGAAAGUCAUUUUGUUAGAGUAGAGUAAUUUUCGGAGUGUGAGCAGGGGCCCCAUGUUGCGAAAAGACGACGUUGUCGUCGUAGAAAUUUGUGUUGGACCUAGGGAAGCAGGUUGGACUCGAAAACGUCGAUGUAUAUUACUGAUGUAAGCCUGUAAUCCUACGAGAAUCAGAUGAUAGGUGUCCCUAAGGGCAUCCGCACUAAAGGUGGACUUUUUUCCGGAGCCCUCCUUCAUUUCUAUGAUCUAAUUGUGGUCUAGCCCCUUCUUAGCAUUUUAGAUGGUCUUACGAGCUAUUCCCGUCCCCCUGACUACCUCUGUUGAAGUGACCUCAAGAAAAAGAGGUGCUUGAGAUACAUAGAUACCUAUAUAAUUACAGGCAGCUCUAAUAUCAUCACACAUAACCUCUCAAAUCAACAUAAUACAAGUGUCUACUCAGAUAUGGAUUUUUUUCCAUCGAAGACAACGAGCUUAAAGUCAAUUCGAUGACUUGAUUGUAGGGUGGACUGGGAAAUAUAAAUUCAAAUGAAGAUUACUCCAAAAGUACUAAUCAUCAAUGUAUUUUGUCUCGUUUGACUAUUAGAAAAUAGAUGUAUGUCUGUGGUGUAAAACUUUGGUUUGUCUAAUUUGAAAGAUCUUCCAGUAAUUCAGUAAGACGUGCUUCAACUUUCUCCGGUCACUAUACUCUCCAUAAAGUGAUGAUAUUGAAUUUAUUUUUCAGAGUUGAUAAGAAAUCAGACCCUAUUUCAUAUAUAAGGAUUAUUUUUUCUUAAUAACGCAACAAAUCUUUUUUUAUUUAUGUAUUUUCUUUUAAGUGUUUUAUUUUACAUUCAGGUUACAUAUUUUUGUGUUCAUGAGCGCAACGUAGUAGAAAUUGCUUUUGUUCAUCCGUUGUAAUUAAACCAUGGGUUCAAUCGAAGCAAAAUUACUAUCCCAUAAAGAUGGAUCUUAACAAAGAAAGUAAUCUUCAAUUUUCAAACUGGAAAACAGUGUCAUGCUUUUCACCGAUAUGAAGUAACAUAUUUUUUUAUCUGAAAUCAAAUUUCAUAUAAUGAUAGACGAGUCUUUAAUGAAACAAUAAAUAAAGUUAUCACUA
rnacentral:lncRNA from 1 species